GGGUGUGUAGCUCAGCGGUAUGAGCACUACGUUGACAUCGUAGGGGUCACAGGUUCGAUCCCUGUCACACCCACCA
rnacentral:tRNA from 3 species